UUCUUGACCCAAAUAGUCUCAGAAACCAUCUAUUAUGCAGUACUGUGGUCCAAACCAUUAAAAAGAUAAUUUCCAGCUUGGCUGACGUUAGCCAUUUUGGAUUAAGGGCACUCAAAAAUUUUCCCCACAUUUUUGAGAGGGGCACCCCGGCUCAAUUUCUUAUUUAACCCUUAUAGAUGACAAAUCCAGUGAGAAACCAACCUUCGCUCUCCACGGUCAUGGAACUGCUAUAGAUGACCCAACUAUGUGUCCAUCUUAUUUAGUCGUUUUAUUGUUUUAUUGAUCGUUGUUUGUGAAAUUAGCUUCAUAUUUAAUUGAUGGUGCACUAACACAAUUUAGAGCUAUAUUGGGUUUAGUGGGACUUAAUUGCAUUUUUGGGGGUUUUAAUUGUAGGUCAUGUAAUAACAGAUAAUUACAAUAAACAGCAGGUACUGUGUCAUAGUGUGUGUUUUAGCCCAUUAUUUGUAGCAAAUGUUGACAAUAUUAAGUAGAAAUGCAGGAUUUUGUAAGAAUAAUGAUAGAUAGAUAGAUAGAUAGAUAGAUAGAUAGAUAGAUAGAUAGAUAGAUAGAUAGAUAGAUAGAUAGAUAGAUAGAUAGAUAGAUAGAUAGAUAGAUAGAUAGAUAGAUAGAUAGAUAGAUAGAUUGAUAGAUAGAUAGAUAGAUAGAUAGAUAGAUAGAUUGAUUGAUUGAUUGAUUGAUUGAUUGAUUGAUUGAUUGAUUGAUUGAUUGAUUGAUUGAUUGAUUGAUUGAUUGAUUGAUUGAUUGAUUGAUUGAUUGAUUGAUUGAUUGAUUGAUUGAUUGAUAGAUAGAUAGAUAGAUAGAUAGAUAGAUAGAUAGAUAGAUAGAUAGAUAGACAGACUUUAUUUAUCCCAAGCUGGGAAAUUACAGUGUAGCAGCAGCAUUACACACAGAGACAAUAACAACACAAUUAAAUAAAUAGAACAACCUAGGCAUAAUGAGGUUGAAACCAACAUAUAAUUGAUAACAUUAUUUGAUUGAAUGAUUUUUUUUGCUUUGACAGAACAGAUUUAAUCCUUCCUUGUUCAGAAGUUUGAGUUUCUCUAAUGUUUGACAAGCUGUAACAUGAACCAUCAGGUUUUAUCCGCCACAGUGCUCAUUUUAAACUGCUGAAGCUUGAACCUGAGAGACGACGACCACCAGCAGCAGCAUCCAUGUGGAGCUUCAACUGAGAUCAUUAAUGUGUGAAUUCCCACGGACAGGCAUGCUUUAAAUCCAGCACCAGCCCUAAACAGGACAACAACAUGGACUAACGAGAUCGAUGGCCCAGCAGGACGCCCAUGGACCAGCAUACAUCUGACUCAGUGCUUAUCCAAUUGUUUUUUUAAUUUUUUAAGGUGUUUUUUGGCUUUAUUGACUGUGGGACAUACAUAGUGGGGAGAAAAAGGGGAAGACAUGCAGGAAAUGACAGAUGACACCAUCCUGGCUCCUGCUUAUUUGCCACUAUGACAGUAUUAAUGCAUCUGCGGCUCCUUGAAUUGUGUUAGACUUAUGUAUUGUAAACGUUCAUGCGAUUGUAAUCUUUAGUGGUGUCCUAUUUUGUCUAAAGGACAAAAGAGAGAAUUGUACAAGGAAAUAUUUGACUGUUUUUAUAAUUCUUCAUUGAGUUAAACUGUUCUACAUUGAUUAAAAAAUGAUCAAGUAUGUAUCCAGAUUUAAUAAAGUGUGUAGUAGUUAUAGUAUGUUUAAGAAUGUCAAAAAAACUGUCUGUGAAGUUUGUCAAAAAAUUUCAAAAAAUGCUUAAUAAAAGUAUGUUAAUUAUGGCAAUAUUAUAA